GGCGGGUUGGUGUGGACUUGUUGGGCUGAAGGGCCUGUUUCCACGCUGUAAUCUAAUCUAAUUAGCUUCCAGAUAGUGUCAAAUUAGAGGCUAGAAGUGAGACCACUAACUACAACCAACAAUAUUUUUCAUUUGCAGUUUUCAGGAGCCACAUGACAUCGCUUGCCCUUUGAAUGAGAGUGAUAUGUACCUCUGUUUUGUGAACUUGUGUUGCACAAUGGGAAAACUUGUCUGUAAACUUAAUGUUCAACCUCACAUUGCACUGUCAAAGUAAGCUUAGAAUGCCAGCUUUCAUUGGGAAAAAAACAAUUAUUAACUAAGGAUACCAUGUUAGCUAUUAACUCCGAACAAAGUUCUUUUGAAUCACUCAUUAACUGAUUUGGCAAUUUCUCAGUCAGAACUACAAACUGCAAGCACAUUGCUUUUAUUGUAAUUCUAUACUGCCAAACAUAGCACGUGCUGGUCAGCUGCUCCAUAAAGUAAAAAUAUAUCACCAUUUCACUCUGGCUAACCAUAGGGCUUUCAAGGUUUAUAGAUCUUCCUGGAUGAUCCUUAUCCAAGUAAAAUUAAUUGAAUUUCCAGUGUAAAAGAUCAACCAUUACUUCCAUCUGUUCUAAUCCAUUUGUCUGGAUGAGUGCAGCUCUGACAACACACAAGAAACUCCAAGACAAAGCAACCCAUUUGAAUGGCACCCCAAUCAGUAUCAUCAACCUUCACUCCCUCUACCACCAGCACAAAGAUGCAGACUGACCUGCUGAAUGUACUCCAGCAUUUUCAGAGUUUUGAAUUUCCAACAUUUCCAGUUCUUCUUGUAAUUAUAAGGUUAUGCUGCCAUUAACUAUGAAUCCAUGCAUCUUGGACAUUUUUGGCUUGAAUUUUUGUUACUCUCAAUGCUUUUUGGAUGUGAUUGUGAUGUCUAUUUAUGGCUCCAUUAGAGAUCUGUUUAGUUUUCUUUUGAAUGCUUCAGUAUUUCUUGCAUUAAUUGAACAGGGUGAAAGUAGAACAUUGCCUACCCCUCCCUUGCUGCAGUACUUUCUAGAUUGUUAAUAAAGCUUGUCAGAAUUUGAAGCUUAUUCAUUAUUUUUCAGAAAUUCACUAAACUUUUUUUCCAUUUAUCUAUUGUUAACUAAACAGUUUAUCUAAUGCAUGCUACAUGUCAUGUCUAACAUCAGUCAUACGCACAUUUCAUGCUCGCACUUCCAUCUGUUUAAUUCAAUUUCCCUAUUAAGAAAACAACAAAAUAUCACAAUUGAACAUGAACAGAAUCAACAUGUAGGAAGCAGAAACGAAACCUGCUAAAUAUGGAUUGUCAAUGCCAGCCAGCAAUCGAAGUGGAAAAACAACUUCUGAAAAUUACUUCAACUGCCAUCUUGAAUUAGCCGAGAAAUGCAAUAGUGUAUUAAUGCUUUAAAACAUUAAAAAUCCACAAAUGAAAAUGUUUACCUACACAAUAUCAUGUUUGUGAUUGAAACACCUUUAAAUAUUUUAUUUCUGUCAAGAAACCUGUGCUUAUAUGAGAAGGCUGAGACUUGGGUGUAUUCAGAACCCUGGAUUCUUCAGCUGAACAGAUUCAUGUUAGCACAGCUCUUAGCAAACAUCAGAGUGUGCAACAUUUUUGACAGGAAGACUUGGCAAACUCACUGGCUAUUCAUAGAAUGUGCAAAGACUUAAGGUUUGUAAGCCCUGUACCCUCCAGUGGAAAAUUACUGAUAAUAAAACCCCAUGGGAAACUAUUUUAACAUAA